rnacentral:rRNA from 1 species
GGGGGCACCACCAGUAGUGCAUCCUGCGGUUUAAUUUGACUCAAGCAGGAAAUCUCACCAGGCCCGGACACGGGAAGGAUUGACAGAUUGAGAUUUCUUUCUUGAUUGGGGGGGGGGUGGUGCGUGGCCGUUCUUAGGUGGGGGAGCGAUGUGUGUGGUUAAUUCAGAUAACGAACGAGACUCUGCCCUACUAACUAGACGUUGGAUCAUUGCGGUCGUUCCUUGCUAGGGGGAGGGACGGGUGGCGCCCACCCGAACGAGAAUGAACAAGAGCAGGGCUGUGCUGCCCUUAGAUGUUCCGCGCUGCCCGAGCGCUACACUGAAGGAAUGAGCGUGUCCAGCCUGACCGAAAGGACACCGGAAAACCCCUCAACCUCGUGGGGGAUGGGGAUUGGGGAUUGCACUUCUUCCCCAUGAACCAGGAAUUCCCAGUAGGCGCGAGUCAUAAGCUUGCGUCUAUUACUUCCCUGCCCUUCCGCACACCUCCCGUUUCUAUUACUGUUAUAGUGUGUUAUCUAG